AUUGAACGCUGGCGGCAGGCCUAGCACAUGCAAGUCGAGCGGAUGAAGGGAGCUUGCUCCUGGAUUCAGCGGCGGACGGGUGAGUAAUGCCUAGGAAUCUGCCUGGUAGUGGGGGAUAACGUCCGGAAACGGGCGCUAAUACCGCAUACGUCCUGAGGGAGAAAGUGGGGGAUCUUCGGACCUCACGCUAUCAGAUGAGCCUAGGUCGGAUUAGCUAGUUGGUGGGGUAAAGGCCUACCAAGGCGACGAUCCGUAACUGGUCUGAGAGGAUGAUCAGUCACACUGGAACUGAGACACGGUCCAGACUCCUACGGGAGGCAGCAGUGGGGAAUAUUGGACAAUGGGCGAAAGCCUGAUCCAGCCAUGCCGCGUGUGUGAAGAAGGUCUUCGGAUUGUAAAGCACUUUAAGUUGGGAGGAAGGGCAGUAAGUUAAUACCUUGCUGCUUUGACGUUACCAACAGAAUAAGCACCGGCUAACUUCGUG
rnacentral:rRNA from 1 species